CUUUGUCAGAUCAGACAAGCGACAUAAUAACCUUAAUACGUUUACAACAGUAGGACUUUGUAGAAAGGUCGGGAAUCCAUCACUUGCAUCCUUCAACGUCUGUGUAAGUCAGGAAUCCAACCAUGAAGCUCAUCCACACAGCACUGCUUCUUGUCUGCUGCAUCCUCGUCACACAAGCCAUUGAGAACAAGCUGAGCCAACUUUUGAAUGUGGCCAAACGUGAUGACCAACAGGAGCAUGUUGAAC